rnacentral:rRNA from 1 species
AUUGAACGCUGGCGGCAGGCCUAACACAUGCAAGUCGAGCGAGCGGCGGACGGGUGAGUAAUGUAUGGGGAUCUGCACGAUAGAGGGGGAUAACUACUGGAAACGGUGGCUAAUACCGCAUAAUAUCGGAUGCACCCAUAUGGGAUUAGCUAGUAGGUGGGGUAAAGGCUAACCUAGGCGACGAUAUCUAGCGGGUCUGAGAGGAUGACCAGCCAAAGUAGGACUGCGACACGGCCCGGACGCCUACGGGAGGCAGCAGUGGGGAAUAGUGCGCAAUGGGGGCAACCCUGACGCAGCCAUGCCGCGUGAAUGAAGAAGGCCUUCGGGUUGUAAAGUUCUUUCGGUAGCGAGGCGUUAACUACAGAAGAAGCACCGGCUAACUCCGUGCCAGCAGCCGCGGUAAUAC